CUGAUAACAGCCAAUCUAACUGCCCAAUAGUGCUCACUGGGAGGCACCAAGCCACUUCGAGAAGUUAUCGAACUCAGUGUAAUCGCUGUCAGAGAUCAUAGUCUUGUACCAUGCCUUCCCAGCAGCCUUAAUCUUAUCAGAUUCCUCCUUGGAAAGUGGAGUCCUCUUCUUGUCUAACUUCUCCUUCUUAGCCUUCACCCUCUGAGCCUCCGCCAGCAGCGCCAUCCUCCUCGCUGUCUUCG
rnacentral:misc_RNA from 1 species